GACGAACGCUGGCGGCGUGCUUAACACAUGCAAGUCGAGCGGUAAGGCCCUUUCGGGGGUACGACGAGCGGCGAACGGGUGAGUAACACGUGGGUGACCUGCCCUUAGCUCUGGGAUAAGCCUGGGAAACUGGGUCUAAUACCGGAUAUGACUCCAUGACGCAUGUUGUGGGGUGGAAAGCCUUGUGCGGCUAGGGAUGGGCCUGCGGCCUAUCAGCUUGUUGGUGGGGUGAUGGCCUACCAAGGCGACGACGGGUAGCCGGCCUGAGAGGGCGACCGGCCACACUGGGACUGAGACACGGCCCAGACUCCUACGGGAGGCAGCAGUGGGGAAUCUUGCGCAAUGGGCGAAAGCCUGACGCAGCGACGCCGCGUGGGGAUGACGGCCU
rnacentral:rRNA from 1 species